rnacentral:rRNA from 1 species
GCACGUGUAGCAGACCCGCACAAGCGGUGGAUGAUGUGGAUUAAUUCGAUGCAACGCGAAGAACCUUACCUGGUCUUGACAUGUACGGAAUCCUCCAGAGACGGAGGAGUGCCUUCGGGAGCCGUAACACAGGUGCUGCAUGGCUGUCGUCAGCUCGUGUCGUGAGAUGUUGGGUUAAGUCCCGCAACGAGCGCAACCCUUGUCAUUAGUUGCCAUCAUUUAGUUGGGCACUCUAAUGAGACUGCCGGUGACAAGCCGGAGGAAGGUGGGGAUGACGUCAAGUCCUCAUGGCCCUUAUGACCAGGGCUUCACACGUCAUACAAUGGUCGGUACAGAGGGUAGCCAAGCCGCGAGGUGGAGCCAAUCUCACAAAACCGAUCGUAGUCCGGAUUGCACUCUGCAACUCGAGUGCAUGAAGUCGGAAUCGCUAGUAAUCGCAGGUCAGCAUACUGCGGUGAAUACGUUCCCGGGUCUUGUACACACCGCCCGUCACACCAUGGGAGUGGGGGAUACCAGAAGUAGGUAGGGUAACCGCAAGGAGCCCGCUUACCACGGUAUGCUUCAUGACUGGGGUGAAGUCGUAACAAGGUA